rnacentral:lncRNA from 1 species
GUUCGAGGUGCCCCUGGCGCGACGCGUGGUCGAUCGCCGCGGCCGUGCGCACGUUGAGCGCGAUGCCGCAGUCGUAGAGGGCGCGCACCAUAUUUGCGUCGCCGCGCUCGACCGCCGAGCGCAUCGCUUCGUAUGGGUCAUCGGCGCUUUCACACAGCAGUCGUCGCUGCUCGGCGGUGCUGUGGUUCUCGAGGAUGACGCGCACGGUAUCGGCGUGGCCGUGGCUGGCCGCCACGUUAACCAGACAGGCCGUGCGCGGCACGCGCUUGCGCGCAUACAGAAAGGCCAGUAUGUCGGCGCGGCCGGCCUUGCACACUGCCUCGGGCGAGAGGCGCAGCCAGUGGUGGACGCGCCGGGCGCGCUGCACCUCGUCGGCGCUGUGCACGCGAAAGCAUCGAUGGGCCGCACGCGCCCGGCAGAAAUCAGCGUGGCCGAGCCGGUCGAGGAUGGCAGCGAUCGCCUCGGGCGGCAUCGUGAGGAGGGGCGCGUCGGGCCGGAGCCGCUCCAUGACCGAUGGGCGUCUCCUUGUCCUUUUCCCCGACUCUGUCUUUUCCUCUUUUCUUUUGACCGACGUGCAGCGGUCUGUUUCGACGCACUCCAUGGAAAAAAAGGGGGAAAUAAAAGAGCGCCGGCGGUCGGUCGUGUUGUGGCUGUCUCGGAUCCUUGUACCAGUUCCCGAGACAUGUUGACGAGACCUUGCGGGUUUACUCGGUUCACGCGGUGCCGCUUUCCCCGACGCCGCGCGAAUUUUGGUGGUGGACAAAUUUUGCAGAUCGCGCCCGACAGGGCGGGCCGCCCAGGCAGAACAAAAAAGAUUUUAUUGGGGCGGUGCCCGUCAAUAGACAACACGCGCAAACUCUUUUGGUCGGAACCGCGAGGCGGCAGACACCGAAAGUGGUCCCUUUUUUGCUUUGCAACGACAAAAGAGACUGACAGACCGGUCCGGUUUAGAGACAGCGAGACGAAAGAAAGAGGCCGAGACGAGACAGGGAGGGAGAACAUGGCCGUCAGGCGGCACCGAGAUGGUUGCCAAAAACGGCGAGCACCUCUCCUUCGGUGGGCCAGGGCGCGCCGAUGGGUCGCGUGAUCGUCGCCUUGCGCGUGUUCUUUUUGACGAUAAACUCGUCGUCUCGCGUAUCGCCAGGCCACUGCCUGCCCAUGCGUCCGUACAUGGCCGGCCGGCCGUGCCACUCGGGGUUGCGCUUCCGCACCGACUCGGCCAGGACGGCCUCAAACGUACUCCAC